UGGGGAAUAUUGCACAAUGGGCGAAAGCCUGAUGCAGCAACGCCGCGUGAGUGAUGAAGGUCUUCGGAUUGUAAAGCUCUGUCUUUUGGGACGAUAAUGACGGUACCAAAGGAGGAAGCCACGGCUAACUACGUGCCAGCAGCCGCGGUAAUACGUAGGUGGCGAGCGUUGUCCGGAUUUACUGGGCGUAAAGGGUGCGUAGGCGGAUGUUUAAGUGAGAUGUGAAAUACCCGGGCUUAACUUGGGUGCUGCAUUUCAAACUGGAUAUCUAGAGUGCAGGAGAGGAGAAUGGAAUUCCUAGUGUAGCGGUGAAAUGCGUAGAGAUUAGGAAGAACACCAGUGGCGAAGGCGAUUCUCCGGACUGUAACUGACGCUGAGGCACGAAAGCGUGGGUAGCAAACAGGAUUAGAUACCCUGGUAGUCCACGCCGUAAACGAUGAGUACUAGGUGUAGGAGGUNUCGACCCCUUCUGUGCCGCA
rnacentral:rRNA from 1 species